rnacentral:tRNA from 1 species
AAUUGGUAGAGCAACUGACUUGUAAUCAGUAGGUUGGGGGUUCAAGUCCUCUAGCCGGCA